rnacentral:rRNA from 1 species
UACGUGGGGGGCAAGCGUUGUCCGGAUUUAUUGGGCGUAAAGAGCGUGUAGGCGGCCAGGUAGGUCUGCUGUGAAAACUCGAGGCUUAACCUCGAGAUGUCGGCGGAAACCAUCUGGCUAGAGUCCGGAAGAGGAGAGUGGAAUUCCUGGUGUAGCGGUGAAAUGCGCAGAUAUCAGGAAGAACACCCGUGGCGAAGGCGGCUCUCUGGGACGGUACUGACGCUGAGACGCGAAAGCGUGGGGAGCGAACAGG